GUUUGACCUCGGAUCAGGUAGGGAUACCCGCUGAACUUAAGCAUAUCAAUAAGCGGAGGAAAAGAAACCAACAGGGAUUGCCUCAGUAACGGCGAGUGAAGCGGCAACAGCUCAAAUUUGAAAUCUGUCCCUCUGGCGGGGGCCCGAGUUGUAAUUUGUAGAGGGUGUUUCGGGCGCGAUGCCGGUUUAAGUUCCUUGGAACAGGACGUCGCAGAGGGUGAGAAUCCCGUAUGUGACCGGCGAUCAAGCCCGUGUGAAACCCCUUCGACGAGUCGAGUUGUUUGGGAAUGCAGCUCAAAAUGGGUGGUAAAUUUCAUCUAAAGCUAAAUACCGGCCAGAGACCGAUAGCGCACAAGUAGAGUGAUCGAAAGAUGAAAAGCACUUUGGAAAGAGAGUUAAACAGUACGUGAAAUUGUUGAAAGGGAAGCGCUUGCGAUCAGACUUGCUCGCGGGUGAUACAAUCGCUAUUCGUAGCGGUGCACUCGCCCGCGAUCAGGCCAGCAUCGGUUUGGGCGGUGGGAUAAAUGACCCAGAAAUGUAGCUUCUUUCGGGGAGUGUUAUAGCCUGGGUCGCAAUGCCGCCAGCCCGGACCGAGGACCGCGCUUCGGCUAGGAUGCUGGCGUAAUGGUCGCAAGCGACCCGUCUUGAAACACGGACCAAGGAGUCUAACAUCUAUGCGAGUGUUUGGGUGUCAAACCCAGGCGCGGAAUGAAAGUGAACGGAGGUGGGAGCCCGUGAAACGGCGCACCAUCGACCGAUCCAGAUGUCUUCGGAUGGAUUUGAGUAGGAGCAUAGCUGUUGGGACCCGAAAGAUGGUGAACUAUGCCUGGAUAGGGUGAAGCCAGAGGAAACUCUGGUGGAGGCUCGCAGCGGUUCUGACGUGCAAAUCGAUCGUCGAAUCUGGGUAUAGGGGCGGUACGUUGAACUUUCCUUUCCCCGGUACGAGAGAAGAUAUAUUUACUAACGGUUUCUGCAGAAAGACUAAUCGAACCAUCUGAACCGGUCCGCUGCUGGAUGGUUCAACUGAGCCCUCGGGUGAGGACUCGGGCAGUCGUCCCGGGGAUGGGACGGCUACAUCGUCAGUCUUCGGGUAUGCCGUUAGGCUACCCGCAGCGAGCCUCGGGCUCGUUCACAGACUAAACGGCGAUGGUCGCGGGUGCGCCUGCGAUUAGGAGAUAGCCGAUACUGGUCCCUAACCG
rnacentral:rRNA from 1 species